GGUGUGUGGCUUUGGGGCCAGAGCCGAUGCUGUCCGCCGGAGCUUCAAACUGGCUAAAAUGCUGAACUGCAACGGACGUUACCAGUUUUCGCCGUUAUCGUUGUCGUUGUCGUUGUCGCUGUGGCUGUCGGUGUCGGUUUUGUUGUUGUUGCUUUCGGAGUUCUCGGUGGGGUCGGAGUUGCAGGCGAGGGUGCUAUGAGCCACCAACAGUUCCAUCACUACCAUCAUCACGACCAGCUGCAGCAAGUGCAAUCGGAAUCGGUAUUGAAAGGGAACUCCUCUUCCGACUUGGGCUGCGAAAGGAAUCCACAGAAUCUGCAUAAUCCGGGCCACUCCACUACCGCACGCGGCAUCGGCGGCGGUGGGUCAAUGGACCUUCGUAAUCUCUGCCAGCGUCUCGAUGUGGAUCGCCUGAGAGCCAAGCUGCCUUCGCUGCCUUCGCUGCCCUCGCUGCCGCAACUGAAGCUCCCGAAAUCGCUCCCCAAGCUCCGCGGUCGCAAGGUCUUCCGCAGCUCCAGGAGAAGCCACAGCAGCAACAGUAACAAGGAUGGGGCCGGGGGAGCAGCAGUCAAAGGAGUCGACGGCGGAGGAAUGUGCACGCUGCCGUUGCCGCUGCCACAACAGUCGCAGCAGUUCAUCAACCGCACACCCCAGCGGAUCUCCACCAUCAGCUCGUUGAUGUACGAGGAGCAGCAGCAGGAGGUGGGCACGGGCAUGGGAAUGGGAAUGGGAAUGGGAAUGGGCCAAGGAACAGGACACAGACAGCCAAGCACCUAUCGAAGUGCGGGGAGUCUGGAUGACGAUUAUUAUGCACCGGACAGCGGAGUCGGGGACCGUGCCUCGCGACCCAUUAGCCCCGUUAAGAUUCCGUCGGCCCCAGUGGAAGGUGGAGGCCAGCCCCCGACUCUGACGCAGCGCAUCCAGAGGGGCUACAAGAGCCUCAGCGAGCUUCGGCUGAAGCAUCUGUUCACCAAGCAGACGAUCCUGAGGCGGGACGACAUCGAGGUGGACCGCUACGUGGAGCAGUACGAGGCCGAGCUACGGUCGGAGCGGCGGGCACUGGCGCGCAGGGAUCGGGAGAUAGCCGACAACUACGACAUUCGAUUCAAGACGCUCGCUAGAUCCGGACAGAACAGUCCCGACCGAGAGGCCGGACAGGCGGAGGAGCGCACGAAGCCCCAGAAGCCGCGCAGCGUGGCCGAGCAGAGUGGAGAUGAGAGCGGAAUGGAGGGCACACCACCACUGCCCGCGAGAAGCAGGAAGCCGGGCAUUGCAGCCACGCGAUUCGCCAAGGUCCGACAGCCGCCGCUGCAAAUGGAGGAGCAGGAGGUGCAGCGGGAGCGCGAGGAGCAGCCGGAUCGGGAGGCUUCGCCGCGUCGCAGCAGCUAUAAACAGCUGUUCCAAAAGCUCCCCAGCUUCCCCAACACCCUUCACAGUCUCCAGAAAGGUCGCAGCAAGGAGGAGAAGGGUGCGGGGGAGGCGGCAUCGAGCACACCUCAAACCCCUCCACCGAAGUCGGCUAUCCGCAAAAACAUCAAGAGGCUGCGCAAGUCCAUCAAGCGGCCAGCGAAGCUCAAGGAGAAGCAGCAGCAGCAGCAGCAGCAGCAGCAGAAGGCAGUCGACGAUUCGGACGAAGAGCCGCAGCAAGGGAGGGAGAGCGACAGGGACAAGGAGCCACCAGCCAAGUCCUCUGGCAAUCUGAGAGCCCGCCUCAGUCGAUUUGCCUCCACGGAGCAGCUGCAGGAGCGCUGGCGCAAGAGCUUCAAGACCGCAGCAACCAAAUCGCAGGAGAGCCCCAAAGGGGGAGCAGGUGCGGCGGCAGGAGCAGGAGUGGGAGCAGCGACCGGAAUGGCCAUUGGAGUCCAACUGGAGCGAACCCUCACGAAGCUCAACGAGAAAAUGCAUCAGCUCAAGUUUUUUCCGCGCCAGGGAGGGGCAGCCUCCUCCCCCUCGGAGACAGUCGGGGGGCAGUCCAAGCCGAACACUGUCGGGCAUGAGCCCGUCUUUAUUGACGACGAUGAGGAGCUGGCUGCCACUUACCAUCACAGCGAUAGCGACGAGGACGAAGAGGAGCGUGGCAGCCAGGACAGCGGACACGAUGUCUGUGCUGCGGAGGCAUUUGGGCAGCAGGAGGAUGACAGCGAGGAUGGGGAUGAAGACGAAGAGGAAAAGGAAGAGACACAGAUGGAGCACCCCCUACCAGGAACUGCGUCCGCCCACGCUGCUCGACAAAUGGCGACGCUGGCUGAGCUACAGGCGGAGGCGGCAAAGGGGGGAUGCCCAAACGGAGGACGCUCCUUCGCGGCCUGGAGCAGCGAUUCGCUGGAGGAGAUCCCCGACGAGGACUACCCCCGAGUGCUCAUCCACCAGGAGCACACCGACGACUCCUGCGAGUCCACGCUGAUCAUCGCCGUAGCCACAAAGACCUCGAAGGCAUCAUCGCCGGCCCUUGUCCGGAGCCCGACCCCAACCCCGACCCCGACCCCGACCCCGACCCCGACCCCGACCGGCACUACCACCCAGUGGCUGCUCAACGAACCGACGGAGCAGCAGCCGGGAGGGGCGGAAGAGGCUGAAUGCUGGCCUGGUCCCCGGCCCCUGUGCAAGCCUAAGAGCAUUGAUAUCUUCGAGGCCUCGGGGGCCGCGUUCGCCGACUUCGACGAGGCGCUCCGCAACGCCCCCAUUCUGAGGAUCAGUGCCGGGAGCAGCUGCGAUACGAGCGGCGAGGAGGCGGACGAUAGCAGCUCCAGGGUCACAAGAAUACGGAUGCAGACCUCCCCAAAGAUCGGCAACAGCAGAGAGAGCCUGAUGGCCCAGGAGCGGGAGGAGGAGCAAGAGCAGGAGCAGGAGGAGGCGAAGGAUGCGGAGGAGGAGGAGGAAAGGGAGAGGCGUGCUCUGGAGCGUCCCCCGUCCGCCUCGCCUCCACCCCCGCCGCUUCCAAAGCGGCGUCCGCCGCAGCGCAGAAUCUUUACUCCGCCACCAGCGCCCAUCUACGAUGCAGUGCCUCCGCCGCUGCCCACCAGCAAGCCCCCGCCCCUGAGCAUGACCACUCCUCCCAAUCGCGCUGCUUCUCCUGCUGUUCCCGCGUCGCUCCCAGCGGUUUCGUCCCUCCCGCAGAGGAGCCGUGCCUCCAUGACGCGCCCGGCCAAGCCGCUGGUCAAGACCAGCUCCCUGCGGCUCACCUACAACGAACAGGUGCUCCCCGGCGACAUUGGUAAGGUGAACAAGCUGAUCUCCCGAUUCGAGGGCGGCCGCCGGCCUCGCCUCUGUCCACGACGGCUCCACAGCGAGGAGUACGAGCUGACCGCCACCUCAGCCAGUUUCAACUGGGACGAGGAUCAGGAUGAUGCAGCGGAGGAGGAGGAUAAUGGACAGAAGGAGGAGGCAGCAUCUCCCAUUACUCCCACCAAUCGACCAGUAGUCAUACCAGAGAUCGUUACCACGCAGCCCAGCAACAGCAACAACAACAACAACAACAACAACAGCCACAAGAGGAGGGAGAAGGAGGAGGAGGAGCUCCUCACCAUGGAACUGUCUUUGGAUCGCCAAAACUCCAACUGCAGCCGCUCGGAGUACGGGUCGCCCCUGGCCUAUCCCUACCCCAGCAGGCGCCGCAGCUCGGCGGCCACUGGAGCUCCCCCUUUCACGCUGCCUGCUCCCCAGCAGCAACAGCAACAGCAACAGCAGCAGCAGCAGCAGCAGCAACAGAGACAGCAGGCACGACGCAGCCGACGAUCCAUGACCCGCGACGAUGAAAACUUUUACAGCUUCGACAGCGACGAAGAGAAUAGCUACUACUCCAUUAGCCCAUCGGGCAGCAGUCGCUACGUGGUGGAGAUCUGAGCAUACAAGAGAUACCAAUGUACCGUCUAGGGUCCCAUAAGGGAUCACUUAUCACUUAUGGGACUACGCUCCCAUAUCGCUUUCAGUCGCGGGCUAGGCUCGACGGGUGCCUCGAAGAAAUCCUUUUUGCCAGACUGCGAGCUGGAUCUACGACAUGUAUCCUACACCCUACACACGGGUAUAUAUUCAUAUACAUAUAUACAUAUAUGUACAUAUAUAGGAUGUAUGAUAGUGAUGGGAAUAUGAAGGACUAGUUUGCAUCGUACAUAAUCUCCGGAUCGACUGUAGUGCGCGAUUGAUCUGCAAGGGUAUGCACAUCCAUUAAACGUCUACUGGAAUUAAUGGAAGUGCGAUUCCAGUACUGCCCUCCGCACGGCAGAAUAUAGUACAUAUAUUUUCCAUAUAAUCGUGCAUAUUAUAUAAUAAGAUGAUCUGUUUUUUUUUUUUGCUAAUUGUGUAAGCGUUUAUUUGCAUAUAGAUAAAGUAUAACAACGAAUUAAAAAAACCUA
rnacentral:misc_RNA from 1 species